AUGGAGGCGGCUUGCAACAUCAGUUCUUCUCCGCCGGGCGCUGCUAGGGAAGUUUUGACCACCAGAGGGCGCAAGAACCACGAGCCCCGCCGUCCGAGUUCCCGCUUCCCUCCGCCACGGUGGUCCAGCUUUGUUUGGCUCCUGUGCAUAUACUUUGCUCUUCAACCGUUUAAUGAAAAAUCUCAAACACACAGAAGAAGGAACGGUACCACGAACACCUACACGCCCACCACCUACGUUCUGCUGUCCACGUUUGAUGCACCUGCUUCAUCUUACAUUUUUUUAAAGAUUUUAUUUAUUUAUUUGACAGAGAGAGACAGCCAGUGAAAGAGGGAACACAAGCAGGGGGAGUGGGAAAGGAAGAAGCAGGCUCGCAGUGGAGUAGGGAGCCCGAUGCGGGGUUUGAUCCCAGACCCUGGGAUCACCCCUGAGCCGAAGGCAGACGCUUAAUGACUGAGCCACCCAGGUGCCCCUCAUCUUACGUUUUGUGCGUUGGAAGUACGUUCCAGGCAUCAGGUCUCCUACUCAAAAUCCAUCAGCCAUGCACUCCCCUUCCAGUGCCUCUAACCAGGAGCGAGGGAGCUCUUCACUUCCAACUGAUGAAGAGACCUGUGGGCUGAGGGGAGGCUCUCCUGUCUGCCUAGCAGGAAAUCUCUCUGGGGUCCAGCGAAGUUCCUAAUUCACAGGGCUGUGUCCCUGCAUGAGCAGUUUAACUUGCCUUUGCCUGAGCAGACCAGUGGCAGCAGGAAGGCCCUUCUAGUGCACCUUGCAGUCUCUCCCGCAGGAGGCUUCCCGUCCCCCACCUCCACGCCAGGUAGCUCCAGGAGAGUUCCAACUGUCAGGGUGUACAUCCCACUCUUCAUAUUCCAAACAAGUGACUGCCACCAUUUGCCCAACAGGAUGAGCCUCUUGUGACCUUCCGGGCUCAGCUUGAGAUCAUAACCGUGGGCACUCUUUCUUCGCUUCUGUCUAGACCCAUUUGACUUUCAUUGUACCGGCAGCCCUUCCUUCCAGGCCAAGGUCUGGUCUUCAGAUACCCCCUAGUUACGCCAGAAGUGGAGGGUGCAUUUAUGUUUCUAAAUUCACUUGCUCAUUUGGCAUUGUUUCUGAAAGAGAAAGUGCAGCAGCAAUUUUAUUUGUCAAAAUCUUUAACAUGAAAAUGUUAAUGUCCUAGGGAUUGGGGGAAGGUGGAGGGGGACAGGAGGCGACUUUGGGGGUGAUGGAUAUGAUAUGUUGGUUAGCCUGAUUGUGCUGAUGGUUUCAUGGAUAUAUACACAUGUCAAUAUCUAACUGUCUGCUUUCAACGUGUGCAGUUUCUCAUACGUCAAUUAUGCUUCAAUAGAGCUGUUAAAAUAGGUUUAAUUAAUGAUGAUAUAUUGCAACUUGUCAUUAAAACUUUAUUUUUAAGCUAUUUAUUGAAGUACAAGUGUACAAACAGCAACAUACAUAAAUCUUGAAAUACAGCAUAAUUAAUUUUUCAUGUGUAUACUAUAAACUACAGGAUACUUCCAGUACCUUAGAUGGUCCCUCGUGCCCUCCCAGUUAGUACCCAUUGGAGGUGAGCUCUACUCUGACCUCUAGCAUCACGGAUGGGUUUAGCCCAUUCUUGAACUUUGCAUUAAUAGAAAUGCAUCCACGUUGAUGCUUGUAAAUAGUUUGCUCGUUUCUCAUUGCCAUGUAGUAUCCCAUUUUAUGACUAUAUCAUAAUUUAUUUAAUUAUUCUAUUAUUGAGGAAAAUUUGGGUUGUUUCCAUCUGGGGCUACUUUGAAUAAAGCCACU
ensembl:lncRNA